CCUACGGGAGGCAGCAGUGAGGAAUAUUGGUCAAUGGACGCAAGUCUGAACCAGCCAUGCCGCGUGCAGGAAGACGGCUCUAUGAGUUGUAAACUGCUUUUGUACGAGGGUAAACGCAGAUACGCGUAUCUGUCUGCACGUAUCGUACGAAUAAGGAUCGGCUAACUCCGUGCCAGCAGCCGCGGUAAUCCGGAGUAUUCACGCGUUAUCCGGAUUUAUUGGGUUUAAGGGGUGCGUAGGCGGUCGGAUAAGUUAGAGGUGAAAUCCCGAGGCUCAACUUCGGAAUUGCCUUUGAUACUGUUCGGCUAGAGAGUAGUUGCGGUAGGCGGAAUGUAUGGUGUAGCGGUGAAAUGCUUAGAGAUCAUACAGAACACCGAUUGCGAAGGCAGCUUACCAAGCUACGUCUGACGUUGAGGCACGAAAGCGUGGGGAGCAAACAGGAUUAGAUACCCUAGUAGUC
rnacentral:rRNA from 1 species